UAGAGACUUAGGAUAAACAAACCAAGGGCCUUCAAAGCCCUAAAUAAGAGCUACUCUCUUAGUCCCUGCCUAAAACCUAUAGAAUUACUCUACAUCUUCUGAUUGCAAAUCAGACACUUUAAUUAAACUAAGGCUUCAGGGGUUGGAGGGCCUCGAUCCCACACAACAUUAGUUAACAGCUAACACGCCAACCAGCAGGCAUCAACCCCAUAUAAGUCUAAGGACCAUAUUCUAGCCCACUAUCUGAUUUGCACUCAAAUACUCACUUUAGACUAAU
rnacentral:misc_RNA from 1 species